rnacentral:rRNA from 1 species
AUGAUUGUGAAUAGAUACAAGUUAAGAGGUGAUCUUCGUGUAAUGAACCUCUCGGGGAUGGCAUGCUCUGCAUCAGUGACCGCAGUGGGGCUCGCAAGCAAUAUGUUGCAGGUCAUGCCUUGGGGGUCGCAUGCAUUGAUAGUGUCAACAGAGACCACUGGGCCAGGCCACUAUCAAGGGAAUACAAGCUCCAUGCAGUUGCCUAACAUCUUAUUCCGCAUAGGUGGAGUGGCGAAGUUGUUGUCGACUUCUAGCUCAAAAGCUCGGUUUGAGCUUGCACAUGUCACGCGGAUAAUUACUGCGCCAAACAACUCCGCGUACCGAUGUGCAUAUCAGGAGGAAGAUGAGAAGGGCAUCCUAGGGACACGUCUCACUAAAGACCUUAUGGUUGUUGCUGGAGAAGCACUCAAGGACAAUCUCACUACAAGCGGGCCACUUGUACUGCCGACAGCAGAGCUUCUCAAGUUUUUCCUUUUUGACAUUGCUGGAAAGGUGCUCUAUUGGAGGAAGAUUAGACCAUACAUCCCCAACUUUUGUGUUGCAUUUGAACAUAUAUGCAUCCACGUAGGUGGACCUGCGGUUAUCAGCUCAAUACAGCGUGGCCUCAAUCUAUCAGACAAGCACGUUGAACCGUCACGAAUGACACUAUAUCGCUUUGGAAACCAGUCGGCCGCAUCAGUGUGGUAUGAGUUGGCAUACAUCGAUGCUAAAGGCCUAAUGAAGAAAGGCGACAAGGUGUGGAUGAUCGGAUUUGGUGCAGGGUACGAGUGCAACACCGCUAGUUGGGUGUGUAUACAACCAUCUUCCUGCGCGGAUGGACCCUGGGCUAACUGCAUCAAUUGCUACCCUGUGGAUAUCUCUAGAAAAGCUUAA